rnacentral:rRNA from 1 species
GCUCAGAUUGAACGCUGGCGGCGUGCCUAAUACAUGCAAGUCGAGCGGACCGAAGGGAGCUUGCUCUUUUAGGUUAGCGGCGGACGGGUGAGUAACACGUGGGCAACCUGCCCUGCAGACUGGGAUAACUUCGGGAAACCGGAGCUAAUACCGGAUAACACCGAAAACCGCAUGGUUUUCGGUUGAAAGGCGGCUUUUAGCUGUCACUGCAGGAUGGGCCCGCGGCGCAUUAGCUAGUUGGUGAGGUAACGGCUCACCAAGGCGACGAUGCGUAGCCGACCUGAGAGGGUGACCGGCCACACUGGGACUGAGACACGGCCCAGACUCCUACGGGAGGCAGCAGUA